UACGUAGGGUGCAAGCGUUAAUCGGAAUUACUGGGUGUAAAGCGCGUGUAGGCGGCAGGCCAAGUCUGCGGUGAAAGCGCCCGGCUCAACUGGGCGAGGUCCGUGGAAACUGGUCAGCUGGAGGACGGGUAGAGGCGAGUGGAAUUCCCGGUGUAGUGGUGAAAUGCGUAGAUAUCAAGAGGAACACCUGAGGUGAAGACGGGUUGCUGGGCUGAUACUGACGCUGAGGCGCGAAAGCUAGGGUAGCAAACGGG
rnacentral:rRNA from 1 species